CCUACGGGAGGCUGCAGUGGGGAAUAUUGCACAAUGGGCGCAAGCCUGAUGCAGCCAUGCCGCGUGUGUGAAGAAGGCCUUCGGGUUGUGAAGCACUUUCAGCGGGGAGGAAGGCGGUGAGGUUAAUAACCUCAUCGAUUGACGUUACCCGCAGAAGAAGCACCGGCUAACUCCGUGCCAGCAGCCGCGGUAAUACGGAGGGUGCAAGCGUUAAUCGGAAUUACUGGGCGUAAAGCGCACGCAGGCGGUCUGUCAAGUCGGAUGUGAAAUCCCCGGGCUCAACCUGGGAACUGCAUUCGAAACUGGCAGGCUAGAGUCUUGUAGAGGGGGGUAGAAUUCCAGGUGUAGCGGUGAAAUGCGUAGAGAUCUGGAGGAAUACCGGUGGCGAAGGCGGCCCCCUGGACAAAGACUGACGCUCAGGUGCGAAAGCGUGGGGAGCAAACAGGAUUAGAUACCCCGGUAGUC
rnacentral:rRNA from 1 species